rnacentral:rRNA from 2 species
CAUCCUCCAAGGCUAAAUACUCCUGACUGACCGAUAGUGAACCAGUACCGUGAGGGAAAGGCGAAAAGAACCCCGGCGAGGGGAGUGAAAAAGAACCUGAAACCGUGUACGUACAAGCAGUGGGAGCACAGGUUUACCUGUGUGACUGCGUACCUUUUGUAUAAUGGGUCAGCGACUUAUAUUCUGUAGCAAGGUUAACCGUAUAGGGGAGCCGCAGGGAAACCGAGUCUUAACCGGGCGUUAAGUUGCAGGGUAUAGACCCGAAACCCGGUGAUCUAGCCAUGGGCAGGUUGAAGGUUGGGUAACACUAACUGGAGGACCGAACCGACUAAUGUUGAAAAAUUAGCGGAUGACCUGUGGCUGGGGGUGAAAGGCCAAUCAAACCGGGAGAUAGCUGGUUCUCCCCGAAAGCUAUUUAGGUAGCGCCUCGUGAAUUCAUCUCCGGGGGUAGAGCACUGUUUCGGCUAGGGGGCCAUCCCGGCUUACCAACCCGAUGCAAACUGCGAAUACCGGAGAAUGUUAUCACGGGAGACACACGGCGGGUGCUAACGUCCGUCGUGAAGAGGGAAACAACCCAGACCGCCAGCUAAGGUCCCAAAGUCAUGGUUAAGUGGGAAACGAUGUGGGAAGGCCCAGACAGCCAGGAUGUUGGCUUAGAAGCAGCCAUCAUUUAAAGAAAGCGUAAUAGCUCACUGGUCGAGUCGGCCUGCGCGGAAGAUGUAACGGGGCUAAACCAUGCACCGAAGCUGCGGCAGCGA